rnacentral:misc_RNA from 1 species
ACAUUCAAUUAGUAAGACAAGAUAUCACAUAGUGAUUCUUUUUAACGGUUAAGUUAGAAAGGGCGCACGGUGGAUGCCUUGGCAUUAGGAGCUGAUGAAGGACGGGACGAACACCGAUAUGCUUCGGGGAGCUGUAAGCAAGCUUUGAUCCGGAGAUUUCCGAAUGGGGAAACCCACCACUCGUAAUGGAGUGGUAUCCAUAUCUGAAUUCAUAGGAUAUGAGAAGGCAGACCCGGGGAACUGAAACAUCUAAGUACCCGGAGGAAGAGAAAGCAAAUGCGAUUCCCUGAGUAGCGGCGAGCGAAACGGGAUUAGCCCAAACCAAGAGGCUUGCCUCUUGGGGUUGUAGGACACUCUGUACGGAGUUACAAAAGAACGAGGUAGAUGAAGAGGUCUGGAAAGGCCCGCCAUAGGAGGUAACAGCCCUGUAGUCAAAACUUCGUUCUCUCCUGAGUGGAUCCUGAGUACGGCGGAACACGUGAAAUUCCGUCGGAAUCCGGGAGGACCAUCUCCCAAGGCU